GGAGGAAUAUUGGACAAUGGGGGCAACCCUGAUCCAGCCAUGCCGCGUGCAGGAUGACGGUCCUAUGGAUUGUAAACUGCUUUUAUACAGGAAGAACCCCUAUCAUGCGUGAUAGACUGACGGUACUGUAAGAAUAAGGAUCGGCUAACUCCGUGCCAGCAGCCGCGGUAAUACGGAGGAUCCAAGCGUUAUCCGGAAUCAUUGGGUUUAAAGGGUCCGUAGGCGGUUUAAUAAGUCAGUGGUGAAAUGC
rnacentral:rRNA from 1 species